UACGGCUACAUCACAUUGAAACACCGGUUUCCGUACGAUCAGCAAAGUUAAGCAACAUCGAGCCUGGUCAAUACCUAGAUGAGUGACCGUUUGGGAAUACCAGGUGCUGU